ensembl:misc_RNA Metazoa_SRP Metazoan signal recognition particle RNA
CUUGAUAGGUACAUGAUGCCUAUUUUGUCAGAAAAAGUAAGAAGAACCUGGAGGAUUGCUUGAGCCCAGGAGUUCUGGGCUGUAGUGUGCUAUGCUGAUUGGGUGUCUGCACUAAGAUUGGCAUCAAUAUGGUGACCUCCUGGGAGCAGGGGACCACCAGGUUGCCUAAGGAGGGGUGAACUGGCCCAGGUUGGAAACAGAGCAGGUCAAAACUCUCGUGCUGAUCAGUAGUGGGAUUGCGCCUGUGAAUAGCCACUGCACUCCAGCCUGGACAACAUAGCGAGACCCCAUCUCU